AUGUCUGCUGGGUUGGGCAGUUCCUUAAGAAGAUCCUAUUUCCCUGUUCUGCCCCCAUCAAGAGUUUUUUGGAAGAGAAAACAAAAUGCCAUUUCAGAGGAUUUUCUGGAAGAGUUGAAGGAGGCAUUACUGAGUCAUAUGUGCCAGUUGCACACACAUCCACCAUCUGAGGAAAACCUCCCUCUUGAUCGUCUUCCUCUGAAAGUGGCUGCAGCUCAUCACAUGAGCUUUGCAGAAGAAAUUAGCCUGCUGUGCCUGUCACCAAAGAAAGGCGGAAAGGUUUGUCCCAAAAGUUCAAGGGAGCUCCUCAGCUCUGAGGCCAUCUCUAAACUCUACUCCCGAGAGGCAGAACAUGCUGGGUAACUAUCAAAUUCUCACACUGGGGAAAAAUCAAAGGCAGGUGAACCACAAGAGAGCCUGUUGCUUUAGGCUAGGCUGCUAGUCACUGCUCCUGAAAGCUCAAACACAUGCUAUUGUUGGAAUCUCUGGGAACCAGUUCAGUUCAGUCGCUCAGUCAUGUCCGACCCUUUGCGACCCCAUGAAUCGCAGCACGCCAGGCCUCCCUGUCCAUCACCAUCUCCCGGAGUUCAUCCAGACUCAUGUCCAUCGAGUCCGUGAUGCCAUCCAGCCAUCUCAUCCUCGGUCGUCCCCUUCUCCUCCUGCCCCCAAUCCCUCCCAGCAUCAGAGUCUUUUCCAGUGAGUGAACUCUUCACAUGAGGUGGCCAAAGUACUGGAGUUUCAGCUUUAGCAUCAUUUCUUCUAAAGAAAUCCCAGGGUUGAUCUCCUUCAGAAUGGACUGGUUGGAUCUCCUUGCAGUCCAAGGGACUCUCAAGAGUCUUCUCCAACAUCACAGUUCAAAAGUGUCUCUGCUUUUGAAUAUGCUAUCUAGGUUGGUCAUAACUUUUCUUCCAAGGAGUAAGCGUCUUUUAAUUUCAUGGCUGCAGUCACCAUCUGCAGUGAUUUUGGAGCCCCCCAAAAUAAAGUCUGACACUGUUUCCACUGUUUCCCCAUCUAUUUCCCAUGAAGUGAUGGGACCGGAUGCCAUGAUCUUCGUUUUCUGAAUGUUGAGCUUUAAGCCAACUUUUUCACUCUCCUCUUUCACUUUCAUCAAGAGGCUUUUUAGUUCCUCUUCACUUUCUGCCAUAAGGGUGGUGUCAUCUGCAUAUCUGAGGUUAUUGAUAUUUCUCCUGGCAAUCUUGAUUCCAGCUUGUGUUUCUUCCAGUCCAGCGUUUCUCAUGAUGUACUCUGCAUAUAAGUUAAAUAAGCAGGGUGACAAUAUACAGCCUUGAUGUACUCCUUUUCCUAUUUGGAACCAGUCUGUUGUUCCAUGUCCAGUUCUAACUGUUGCUUCCUGACCUGCAUACAGAUUUCUCAAGAGGCAGGUCAGGUGGUCUGGUAUUCCCAUCUCUUUCAGAAUUUUCCACAGUUUAUUGUGAUCCACACAGUCAAAGGCUUUGGCAUAGUCAAUAAAGCAGAAAUAGAUGUUUUUCUGGAACUCUCUUGCUUUUUCCAUGAUCCAGCGGAUGUUGGCAAUUUGAUCUCUGGUUCCUCUGCCUUUUCUAAAACCAGCUUGAACAUCAGGGAGUUCACGGUUCACGUAUUGCUGAAGCCUGGCUUGGAGAAUUUUGAGCAUUACUUUACUAGCAUGUGAGAUGAGUGCAAUUGUGCGGUAGUUUGAGCAUUCUUUGGCAUUGCCUUUCUUUGGGAUUGGAAUGAAAACUGACCUUUUCCAGUCCUGUGGCCACUGCUGAGUUUUCCAAAUUUGCUGGCAUAUUGAGUGCAGCACUUUCACAGCAUCAUCUUUCAGGAUUUGAAACAGCUCAACUGGAAUUCCAUCACCUCCACUAGCUUUGUUCAUAGUGAUGCUUUCUAAGGCCCACUUGACUUCACAUUCCAAGAUGUCUGGCUCUAGAUUAGUGAUCACAUCGUCAUGAUUAUCUGGGUCAUGAAGAUCUUUUUUGUACAGUUCUUCUGUGUAUUCUUGCCACCUCUUCUUAAUAUCUUCUGCUUCUGUUAGGUCCAUACCAUUUCUGUCCUUUAUCGAGCCCAUCUUUGCAUGAAAUGUUCCCUUGGUAUCUCUAAUUUUCUUGAAGAGAUCUCUAGUCUUUCCCAUUCUGUUGUUUUCCUCUAUUUCUUUGCAUUGAUCGCUGAAGAAGGCUUUCUUAUCUCUUCUUGCUAUUCUUUGGAACUCUGCAUUCAGAUGCUUAUAUCUUUCCUUUUCUCCUUUGCUUUUCGCCUCUCUUCUUUUCACAGCUAUUUGUAAGGCCUCCCCAGACAGCCAUUUUGCUUUUUUGCAUUUCUUUUCCAUGGGGAUGGUCUUGAUCCCUGUCUCCUGCACAAUGUCACGAACUGCAUUCCAUAGUUCAUCAGGCACUCUAUCUAUCAGAUCUAGGCCCUUAAAUCUAUUUCUCACUUCCACUGUAUAGUCAUAAGGGAUUUGAUUUAGGUCCUACCUGAAUGGUCUAGCUGUUUUCCCUACUUUCUUCAAUUUUAGUCUGAAUUUGGCAAUAGGGAGUUCAUGAUCUGAGCCACAGUCAGCUCCUGGUCUUGUUUUUGUUGACUGUAUAGAGCUUCUCCAUCUUUGGCUGCAUAGAAUAUAAUCAGUCUGAUUUCGGUGGGAACCAGAGUGACCCCAUAACCAGUAAGACCAAGGGAGUGACUUCCUGCAUUACUCUGAGUCCCCAGAUGUCUUUGUAAUUAGCUUAUAUUGGUUAGUAUAUGUGACUCUUCCUUUUGUUUCUCUCUUUGGAGAUCUAUCAGCAUUAUUUCUGUUGUUCAGUUGCUAAGUCAUGUUCAACUACUUGCAACCUCAUGGGCUGCAGCAUGGAAGGCUUCCUUGUCCUUCACCAUAUCCCUGAGUUUGCUCAAACUCAUGUCCAUUUAGUGGGUGAUGUCAUUCAACCAUCUCAUCCUCUGUCUCUUUCUCUUCCUGGCUUCAGUCUUUCCUAGUAUCAGGGUCUUUUCCAAAUAGUCUUCACAUCAGGUGCCCAAAUUAUUGGAGUUUUAGCUUCAGUAUCAGUCCUUCCAAUGAAUAUUGAGGGUUGAUUUCCUUUAGGAUUGAUUAGUUUGAUCUCCUUGCAGUCCAAGGGAUUCUCAAGAGUUUUUUCCAAUACCACAGCUCAAAAGCAUCUUUUAUUCGAUGCUCAGCCUUCUUUACGGUCCAACUCUCACAUCCAUACAUGACUACUGGAAAAACCUUAGCUUAGACUAUAUAGACUUUUGUUGGCAAAGUGAUGUUUCUGCUUUCUAAUAUGCUGUCUAGGUUUUUCUUUGCAUUUCUUCCAAGGAGCAAGCGUCUUUUUUCAUUUCAUGGAGGAAGUCACUAUCCACAGUGAUUUUCAAGCCCAAGAAAAUGAAGUCUAUCACUAUUUCCAUUUCCCCACAUCUAUUUGCUGUGAAGUGAUGGGACUGGAUGCCACGAUCUUAGUUUUUUGAAUGUUGAGUUUUAAGCCAGCUUGUUCACUCUCCUGUUUCACCUUCAUCAAGAGGCUCUUUAGUUCAGGGCUGAGAGGGAGACAAAGACAGAAGGGGCUGGUCUGCAGGACAUGAGAAAAGUUCCUGCUGCCAUCCUGGGCAAAGCCAGACUUGGGACAGCCCCUGAUCCAUGGGGCCAGCGAGCUCCAGCUCCCCAGGGAAGCAUCUGCCACCUGCCCAAGCAAUGGGAGCAGGAGGGCCGCAGGCAGACAGAACGCAGGGAAAUGAGCGGAUUUCCUUGACGCAAAGAGGCCGCCCCUCUUCCAGAGGCUCCUUGGGAGCAGCUGUAGAUGGAGAAGAUGCUGCUGAAGGGGGAAAUGUCUGGAUUUCACUUUCUGUGUUUGGGGUAAACCCAAGGGCCCUUUGGAGUCAAAAAAUUAUUGAUGUCAAGGAGGACUGACAGCUGAGGUGACUGCAGCCCGCCUCCGCUCAGCAGGCUGGCUUCGGAGAAGAUCAGGAUCACAGAGCCCACCUGCCAGUGCUUACCGCUGAACGGCCACGACCAGUGGUGCGCACGCGCAGAAAUGACGCAAUGCCGUGGGCCGGAGGGUAGGUCCUGCAAAGUCCGACUCCGGGAGAGGGCAGGGCCUGCAAACAGCCUGCAAAGGUGACCAGCAUACCAGGAGCUGAUGGAGUGAAGCCAGAUGAAAAGAAAGGACUUAGGAGGGAUUGAAGGACAGCAGAGCGUCUCCUUGCCAGUGAAGCAGCUCCUCGAGCAAGGGCGCGGUAGGCCCUGGAGUGAAUCUGCUUUUGAACAAAAUCCAAAGCUGAUUCCAAGGCAGGUGGUGCCCUGAGCCACAUUUUGACUGAUGAGAGGUUUUAUAGGACAGAUCUGUGUGUCCUGUGGACAUAGGAAAAUACAUUUUUCAAUCUUCAUAUGUUUUGGUAAGCUCUUCCAGGUCACUGUAUCUUCUUCUGAGGCACAAUGGCAGGGAAAGAAAGAAGAAAAAGUACCUCUGUGGGGCAGGGAGUCGUGUCCUAAUGGGGUUGCGUGCCAGCCACCUGAGAGAGUGGAGCUCCGUGCUUGAACUCAACCAGAGUCGACUAUGGAAACUUCUGUGGGCAGAGUGUUUGCACGCCUGCCAGCUCACACACUCCCACGCAGAUCUGCCCUUGGUCUUGCUGACUGUGAAUCUGUGAAAUGAAGAUCAGUGGUAUAGGGACCUGAUCCUCUGCCUUAGAGUCUUGCCCUUACAUUAUCACUAAGCCUGCCCCAUGAGUUGUGACCUCCGUGUUCCUGAAACUGGGGUCUGACUAAUUUUUAGGAAUCCUAACAUUUUUCCUUUGGAGUUUUGUUUUCAUGAUCAUCUAAAGCAAAAGUUUUACCAGUUAUAAAAAUAACACUUUUCUUUUGGAGUAAUGAUUCUCAUUUGAAAGUUUUCUUCCACAGAAUCAAACUUGAUUUUUUUUAAAGUCAGUGUUUCUCCAGCGAUAGUCUCCAGAAAUAUUAGGAGACCUUCAAAUACAUUCUCUGGGAUCUAUAUGAAUGGCC
rnacentral:lncRNA from 1 species